rnacentral:rRNA from 1 species
GAUGAACGCUGGCGGCGUGCCUAAUACAUGCAAGUCGAGCGAACGGACGAGAAGCUUGCUUCUCUGAUGUUAGCGGCGGACGGGUGAGUAACACGUGGAUCACCUACCUAUAAGACUGGGAUAACUUCGGGAAACCGGAGCUAAUACCGGAUAAUAUUUUGAACCGCAUGGUUCAAAAGUGAAAGACCGUCUUGCUGUCACUUAUAGAUGGAUCCGCGCUGCAUUAGCUAGUUGGUAAGGUAACGGCUUACCAAGGCAACGAUGCAUAGCCGACCUGAGAGAGUGAUCGGCCACACUGGAACUGAGACACGCUCCAGACUCCUACGGGAGGCAGCAGUAGGGAAUCUUCCGCAAGGGGCGAAAGCCUGACGGAGCAACGCCGCGUGAGUGAUGAAGGUCUUCGGAUCGUAAAACUCUGUUAUUGGGGAAGAACAUAUGUGUAAGUAACUGUGCGCAUCUUGACGGUACCUAAUCAGAAAACCACGGCUAACUACGUG